UUGACGAGAUAACCACCUGUCUGUGAUGAUGCAGGGAGGUCUAAUCCCUCCUGGCCAAACUAGUGCAGAGAGGCUUUAAAAGGUCCACAUCCUUAAAAUGCAGUUUAAAAUUAUCUGUGAACAGAUGAUAAGCAUUUAUGCUUACUGAGGUUUAUAUUGUGCUGGUCUUUAUGCAUAUCCAUCCAGGCCAUAUUCUGAAAAAUAAGUUAUCUAUUAUAUAAAAGACAUUAAUGUUAAUUGUUUGAAGACCAAAAAAAAUCAAUUGUUAAAAAAAAAAGAUUUGGGAGGUGGGUGUUUGCACUGUUGCUUUGUUUAACUAUACAUGUGCACAGCAAAUUUUACAGAUGUAAACCAAUGACUUGCCUUACUUUAUAUUUAUGAUGAAUAUUUACAUUAUUUUACUAUCAUAAAAGAUUAAGAUGGUUUUUAGAGUACCACUCCAGGCCAUUGUACUCCACCUGUAACCCUGUCAUAUCUCUCUUACCUGAAAAUGAAGGUCUUUAUCAUACUCAAAGAACACCUUAUCUUAUUGUUGCAGUACAAAUUUUAGUUGGAUGAAUGAGUGUUCAAUGAAUUCUAGUAAAUCAUGCUGUCAAGAAACUGAAGCUUUUCCAUUUCAAUGUAAUAUUUGGGUGAAUCAUUGUGGAAUGAAAAAGUAUUACAUUUUAAUUUUCAUAAGUUUUGCAUUCUUGAACUGUAGCCCAUGGGCCUCCAUUCGGCCCACCAAACAAUUUGGUGCAGCCCACCAAUAUAUCAAGUAAAAAAAGAGAACAACAAAUGUUGUUUUUGUUUUAUAUUGUUGCUGUAAUAAAAUGGAUACAUGAUGCUACACCUCUGACUAUUGGCAAAUUAUUUGCUUGCUAGUGAACCUCGAGAACAGUAAGUGUUUAAAAUAUAUACCUCAGAUAUUGUUUGAAAUAGGUUCUAAAACUUUUUUGUAAGAAAUGAAAAUCUAGCAUUGUUUGGCAUAUUGCCGCAGAAGGAGAUAUUGUUAUAUCAACAGAUAUAAUGGUAAAAUUUAUUUUGAAUUAUGUACAAAUAUAUUAAACAUUCAAAAUUUAUUCGUUGAAGCCAGUUUUGUAUUUUUCCCCCAUUUGGUUUAAAGGUUCCUAAUAAUCGACAUCUUCAAUAUACCACUGGAUGCAAGCUAUUUCAAAUUAUUGGGAUGAUUAUUAUUUUGUAUAAAGCACAGGGCAUACUGAAGGAUGUGACCCAUUUUUUUCUUCCAAGAAAGCUUAAACAUUUGUAAUUUGGGCUCCUAAUGGUCAUCAUGAAUAGUAAUAUUAAAAUUGUGAGGUAUUAAAGGUCUUUCAGUCAUAGGAAAGGCUGUAAUCUGCAUCAAUUUGAUUAUCUUGACUUGGUAGCAGAAUGUAGAAUAUGAUCUUAAACAUUGCUGCUUUCUUUCAGUCUUGUUUGGUAAUAUUUAUACAAUCUACUGGGUAUGUUGGUUAUGGUUACCCCCAAUACGUAUGUAGUUCUGAUUUGACAAGGGCAUUGAGACUGAACAGCUAAAAGUAUAUGUCUUCAGGUCCUAUAUAGAUUAUUCUGUUUGGAAGUCAUGCUACAGUUGUUUUUUAGAGUUGUGUUUCAUUGCAAAUAUGUAUGAAGGAGGCUGCAGAUCAAGAAAUUUGAUGCAACUCUCUCUCU